GUAGGUGAACCUGCGGAAGGAUCAUUAAUAGUUUUUUUAAUAGGAUUUGUAGUUUAGUGCUACAAAUUCUUUUAAUAUCCAGCGCGAGGUUUUUUUUAAAAUACCAACACCUUUUUUUAUUUACAACCAACCAAACAAAAACAAAAACAAAAGAAAAAGAAUCAAAAUAUACAAACAAAAGAGUUAUUAUAACAAAACAAAAAAAACAACUCUAGGCAAUGGAUAUCUUGGUUCCC
rnacentral:misc_RNA from 1 species